rnacentral:rRNA from 1 species
GAUGAACGCUGGCGGCGUGCCUAAUACAUGCAAGUCGAGCGAACAGACGAGGAGCUUGCUCCUCUGACGUUAGCGGCGGACGGGUGAGUAACACGUGGAUAACCUACCUAUAAGACUGGGAUAACUUCGGGAAACCGGCGCUAAUACCGGAUAAUAUAUUGAACCGCAUGGUUCAAUAGUGAAAGACGGUUUUGCUGUCACUUAUAGAUGGAUCCGCGCCGCAUUAGCUAGUUGGUAAGGUAACGGCUUACCAAGGCGACGAUGCGUAGCCGACCUGAGAGGGUGAUCGGCCACACUGGAACUGAGACACGGUCCAGACGCCUACGGGAGGCAGCAGUAGGGAAUCUGCCGCAAUGGGCGAAAGCCUGACGGAGCAACGCCGCGUGAGUGAUGAAGGUCUUCGGAUCGUAAAACUCUGUUAUUAGGGAAGAACAAAUGUGUAAGUAACUAUGCACGUCUUGACGGUACCUAAUCAGAAAGCCACGGCUAACUACGUG